rnacentral:sRNA from 1 species
CACCAGCUGGCCAGGAUGGGUCUUCAACAAGAAAUCUCACUGGUAAGUGAUGACAGCAUGGGACCAGGGUCCCAUGAAGACCUGCUGGAGGGCCGCACCUCUGGGAAGGUAGACUUGGAGCUUGGUCCAGUGAAGAGGGAACAGCACGGGGAACAGCGUGUGUGAGGGUCCCGCCAUGUCUCAGCCCUUUCCUGGCCCCUGCACUUAGCCUUCGGUGCCCAUCUUCAGGGUCAGGGGAAGCCCAGGCCAAAGCGGGCCGGGAAGGGGCCCUGUGGAUAAGGCCGAGAGCCUGUCCCAAAAUAGGGCCGGCAGGAUUUCCCACCCAUAAAAGGCUCUUGGAAUCUGGACCCCGGGGACCCCAGGCAGCCAGGCCCAGCUAAAACUCAGCUGCCACCACUGCCCCAGCACUCUGCCCACAGCAGCCCUGGUGCCACCACCCUGCAGAAUCCUGUCAGACAACCACCGACAUGGUAAGGCUGCUCUCUGUGCCCGAUGGAGUCUCUGGUGGGCUGGCUGGGUAGGUUGAGCUGGAACCUGGAGGUGCAAUGACCUGCCAGGGAGCCUGGACAGGAAGGGGCUGAGGUAGAAGAGGGGGCCAAGCCCUACUGCCACCAACACGGCCCUUGUUCCGGGGCCAGGGUGGAGCAGCCCUUUCUGGAAGCUGGCUCCCAGAUGGGCAGCAGCAGUGGUGGCAGGCAGGUGUGGCCCGGUGCUGUACUCUCCCUCCGGAAUGCCACACAGGCUGGAGCCCAGGGUUCUGCUUCCUGGGCUGUAUCCCAAUCCUGGGCUGGAAGCCUUUCCCGGGCCAGGGCUGGGCUCCUCCCCACCCUGCUCUCGGCUUCCUUCACCUGCCUCACCCGGUGUCCAUUGCCAGGCUCCAGGGCCGCGGCCUGGCCCGCCUGGCCCUGCAGCUGCUGCUGUUCUCUCGCACGCUGGCUCCUGCCUGUCUGGCCCUUGCCCCUGUUAGCUGCCUGGCAGAGCCCUGCUGGCCCUGCAAACCCCUGGCAUGUGACCCCUUGUCCUGGAAGCCUGCUCUCCACUGGGGGCCUCCUCUCUUACCACUCACCUUGAAAGGCUGCCAAUGGAGGAAUGGGUGCAGGGGGUACCUCUGACCCUUCCCUGGACACAGGGGCAGAAGGGGCUCCUGGUCAGGCCGGUGCGGGUGUCCCCUGCAGACAGAGUGCCUGUCGGCUGAGCAGAUCAAGGAGUACAAGGGAGUCUUUGAGAUGUUCGACGAAGAGGGCAACGGGGAGGUGAAGACGGGGGAGCUGGAGCGGCUCAUGAGCCUGCUGGGCAUCAACCCCACCAAGAGUGAGCUGGCCUCAAUGGCCAAGGACGUGGACAGAGACAGUGAGCUCAUGGCUGGAGUGGGGUGGGCAGCCUCGGGGGGGCCCUGGGUCAGGUCUCAGUGCCUAUGGGGGGAAGAGGCAAAGCCCAUGGGGAGUGCUGUGCCCCGUCCCUGGAGCCCCAGCUGUGCCCCUUGCAGACAAAGGGUUCUUCAACUGCGAUGGUUUCCUGGCACUAAUGGGAGUUUACCAUGAGAAGGCCCAGAACCAGGAGAGCGAGCUGAGGGCGGCAUUCCGUGUCUUCGACAAAGAGGGCAAGGGCUACAUUGACUGGAACACACUCAAGUACGUGCUAAUGAAUGCAGGGGAGCCCCUCAACGAGGUGGAGGCGGAGCAGAUGAUGAAGGAGGCCGACAAGGAUGGGGACGGGACCAUCGACUAUGAGGGUGAGUGGCCUGGAGCCCUGGGAGCCGUUGGCUGGGCCGGGGCAAGCUGCUGACCUGCCCCUCUGUUCCCAGAGUUUGUGGCCAUGAUGACGGGGGAGUCCUUCAAGCUGAUCCAGUAGGUGCAGCUGCCGCAGCCGGGGGAGGCCUGCCCGGGAAGGCUGCUGCCCCUGCCCCCUGGCCCCCACUCCCCCGGCUCCGUGUAAAAUAAAUGUUCCAGCCCGA